rnacentral:rRNA from 1 species
GACGGAGGGUGCAAGCGUUGCUCGGAAUCAUUGGGCGUAAAGGGUGCGUAGGCGGCUUUUUAAGUCUGACGUGAAAGCCCAGGGCUUAGCCUUGGAAGUGCGCCAGAAACUGGAAGGCUAGAGUGCCGGAGGGGAGAGUGGAAUUCCUGGUGUAGCGGUGAAAUGCGUAGAUAUCAGGAGGAACACCGGUGGUGUAAACGGCUUUCUGGACCGUAACUGACGCUGAGGCACGAAAGCGUGGGUAGCAAACAGG